AAUUUUGGACAAUGGGGGCAACCCUGAUCCAGCAAUGCCGCGUGAGUGAAGAAGGCCUUCGGGUUGUAAAGCUCUUUCGGUGGGAACGAAACGGUGGAGACGAAUAAGCUCCACUAAUGACGGUACUCACAGAAGAAGCACCGGCUAACUACGUGCCAGCAGCCGCGGUAAUACGUAGGGUGCGAGCGUUAAUCGGAAUUACUGGGCGUAAAGCGUGCGCAGGCGGCUUACUAAGACAGGUGUGAAAGCCCCGAGCUUAACUUGGGAAUGGCGCUUGUGACUGGUAGGCUGGAGUGUGGCAGAGGGAGGUGGAAUUCCACGUGUAGCAGUGAAAUGCGUAGAGAUGUGGAGGAACACCGAUGGCGAAGGCAGCCUCCUGGGCCAGCACUGACGCUCAUGCACGAAAGCGUGGGGAGCAAACAGGAUUAGAUACCCUGGUAGUCCACGCCCUAAACGAUGUCAACUGGUUGUUGGUGGGGUUAAACCCAUUAGUAACGAAGCUAACGCGU
rnacentral:rRNA from 1 species